CACCAACGAUGGCCAAGAAAAAGUUGACAGUAGCAUUAAAGUAAUUUUUAGGACGAACGAUCAGAGACCACCGAGUCCAAAUAGCACCAGUGGCACACAAGGCGGCAUAUUGACGAAUAGAAAGGUAUUCUGGGGAACGGGCAUAAUCACCAAUACCAGAAAGGACUAAAGUCCAUUUCAUGGCAGGAGCCCAAAAAUGAAC